rnacentral:rRNA from 1 species
CUCAGAUGCGAAAGCGUGGGUAGCAAACAGGAUUAGAUACCCUGGUAGUCCACGCCGUAAACGCUGUCUACUUGGAGGUUGAGGUUUUGGACUUUGGCUUUCGGCGCUAACGCAUUAAGUAGACCGCCUGGGGAGUACGGCCGCAAGGUUAAAACUCAAAUGAAUUGACGGGGGCCCGCACAAGCGGUGGAGCAUGUGGUUUAAUUCGAUGCAACGCGAAGAACCUUACCUACUCUUGACAUCCAGCGAAGCCUUUAGAGAUAGAGGCGUGCCUUCGGGAGCGCUGAGACAGGUGCUGCAUGGCUGUCGUCAGCUCGUGUUGUGAAAUGUUGGGUUAAGUCCCGCAACGAGCGCAACCCUUAUCCUUGUUUGCCAGCACGUAAUGGUGGGAACUCCAGGGAGACUGCCGGUGAUAAACCGGAGGAAGGUGGGGACGACGUCAAGUCAUCAUGGCCCUUACGAGUAGGGCUACACACGUGCUACAAUGGCAGAUACAGAGGGCAGCGAGACAGCGAUGUUUAGCGAAUCCCUUAAAGUUUGUCGUAGUCCGGAUUGGAGUCUGCAACUCGACUCCAUGAAGUCGGAAUCGCUAGUAAUCGUGGAUCAGAAUGCCACGGUGUUACGUUCCCGGGCCUUGUACACACCGCCC